GUGCUUGCUUCAGUAGCACAUAUACUAAAAUUGGAACAAUACAAAGAUUAGCAUGGCCCCUGCACAAGGAUGACACCCAAAUUCAUGAAGUGUUCCAUAUUCAC